UCCCACUCACACUGAUUGAUCUAAACUUCUGCCACAUAAACAUCAAAUACUUGCUGAUUGCUUCUGAAUGUGUCAUGCCACAGAGCAGUUUGACACACUGAAACUGGUUGCACAUGGAUAGGACACGGCAUAAUAAUGUCUGACUUUCGUUAAUCCUAUACUAUGUUAAAAUGUAAUCGAUAUUAACACUAAAACUGUUUUGUGUAAAUAGAUGAACAAUAACUAGCCAAAUUUUAAUUGUGUAAAUUUGUGCCUUAUUUAAUAUGUGUUAAAGGGUGGUGGCGGCAGAGUGGAAGAGAGGACAAGAAAAGGGCAGAGAGGCCCUAAUUUAUCUUUUUAUUUUGAAUAUUUGUAUUUUUUUUAAGCUUGGUUGUCAGUAUAUCAUAACUGUUGUAGAUAUAUAUUUCUAGAUACUUUUGAUAUCCCCAGGCUGUGUGUUGCUUUUGUAUUUGGAACAACAUCUAUAUAGUUUUCUCUCCAAAGCGCAAGUCCUAUCUAUCUGUUUAUCUAUCGUUCUUUCUGUCGCUCUAUGAUCACUGUAUCCUAUCUGUUGCUCUCUGUCGAUCAAUCAUUCUAUCGAUCGGUCUAUCUAUCUCUCAUUCUUACUAUCGCUCUAUCACACUGUCUAUCCUGUCUAUUGUUCUAUGUAUUUCUCUUUUGUUUUCUUUCUCUUUUUGCUUGCUUUCAUGUUGAACUCAGUCCUCACUGACAGGUUUGUUCUGAGAUGUAUGAAGUAAGAUACAUGAACUUCUAAACUGCAGCGUAUCUUCAGAUCUUAUGUUUAAUGGCGACACCAAGACUUCUUAGGCUUUGCACUUUGUUUGGAGGAGAGACUUGUGUGUGUGUGUGUGUGUGUGUGUGUGUGUGUGUGUGUGUGUGUGUGUGUAGACCAUAUCAGUUGGAUGUAGUUCAAACACAUACCUCCCUUUGCUUUUUCCCAGUACUUCAGUCUGGCAGAGUAACUCAGAACAGUUCCUCUGCUCAAAGUCAUCAUCAUCUUCUUCAGUCUGUCUUAUGAUGUGACAGCUUUUGCAUACAUUUUUGGUGCUGGACAGUUUUUAUCAUGUACACUUGAAUUAACCUUUCAAUUCGUCUGCCUGUAACAGUGUGCUCUGUUGCCCCAUGCAAAACCAAAUGCAAUGUCACAUUUUAAUGGACUGCCUCCAACUCAUAUGCAUCACAGGUGGAAAAAGGACUGAGGGUUGAAUCCCUGCACCGUACUCGACGGAAAUCUAGAGCAAGUAAACAGAGUUGGAAGAGACUGGUGUAGUUUCUUUGAAUUUCCAUAGAUAUUAUGAUGGAAAGGGAACUGUGUGUGUCUGAUUUAUCUGCUUUAACCAUUGAGGUUUCUGUUAUUGCACAGUGUAAAUACAAUCCUGGAGUUUCCCAGGAUUCAGUGCUCUGUUGUGAUUACUAUUGGGAUUCUCCACCUCUGCUUUUAUGGAAUACGGUUGUAUUUUCCUUAUUACAGAAAUAAAUGAGAGAUCAUAACAUGCA